rnacentral:misc_RNA from 1 species
AGCAGCCGCGGUAAUUCCAGCUCCAAUAGCGUAUAUUAAAGUUGUUGCAGUUAAAAGCUCGUAGUUGAAUUUCGGGAUCAGUGGGUCGGUCGUGCCACUGGUAUGCACUGGCCCUACUGGUUCCUCCUUCUUGAAGAACUGUAAUGCCAUUAAUUUGGUGUUGCAGGGAAACAGGACUGUUACUUUGAAAAAUUGAGUGUUUAAAGCAGGCAAUCGCUUGAAUACAUUAGCAUGGAAUAAUGAAAUAGGACGAUCGAUCCUAUUUUGUGGUUUCUAGGGUUGACGUAAUGAUUAAUAGGGAUAGUUGGGGGCAUUAGUAUUCAAUUGUCAGAGGUGAAAUUCUUGGAUUUAUUGAAGACUAACUACUGCGAAAGCAUUUGCCAAGGAUGUU